ACCACCAGAACCACAUCGAAGAGGAUGCUGCUGUCCCGGAGAGACACCAGGCCGCUGAGCAGCGCCUGCGAGUGCUCUGCACUGCGUAAAACCAAGACAGCAGCUGAGAAGAGGAGCUCUGACAAGACAGCCUUCUGAGGAGCACUCAGGUCGAUUAGAGAGGGAAAACUAUCCAUGAUCAACUGAAGAGAUGAGUAAUGGGUUAUUUUUCAUGACAGGCUGAUGCUUUUCCUAGAAAUCAAAUGAAAGCAGACAAAACAU